rnacentral:lncRNA from 1 species
UAUUUGCCAAAGCCUUUUCUUCUUAGUGGGGCAGUUUUCAGAUUGACUUUCAAACCAAGUUAUCCUCUCUGUGUCUGCCUUUCUUUCCACAGCCCUCCUCUUUGCUCCCUGUCUGAAGUCUGCAUAUUCCAUGAAUCCUUGAGGGAGCCUGAUUCUUAUAAGGUGUCAAAUUGGGGGCUGUGGUCAGAAUCACAGAAUGCAAAACUGUGUCUAACUAGAGGACACAGAGAAGAGUCUGGGUGUUUCAGAAGACUGAAGGAUUGGUGACAAUAUUUUGGUUAAGAUACCAAUUUUGAUGUUCACCGUUGUUGGGUCCAGCUUGCAGCUGGGAAAUCUUUUGUUGAUAGAAGGGAAUAUGGGGGAUUCUUGCUGCGUUUGGAGAGAGUACUUGAUUGCUGAUUAAAAUCUGCAUCGCUAAUGCAAACCUGAACCUUUCAGGAAGCAGGCUGUGAGAAGUCCUAAUUAGUGUGAAAUUAUAUUUCCCAGAGAUGUUGCAGCCCAGAUCCACACAGACCUACAGCACUGUGAUUCCCUAGGUAGGGCAAGUGUUCCCCUGCAUCAGGCAUUUGUGAUUGCGUGGCCUUGAACUUAGGUUCUAGUGUAAUUUCCCUGCCCCUCACUCCCAGCCCCUGAAAACCACUCUCAUGUCCUCAAAUGAGAGGCAUUCACUGUUCUCCCCCAUGUUGAGAACAACUCAGUUCCUAGUAGGCCUGUGAAUUCAUCCUCAGGCCUUUCCUUAUAAACCAGGCAAGUGUAUUUAACAGAUCAACAGCUGUUGUCAGACUAUAGCCACUGGGUGGAGGGGGCACCUAAGGUUUCAAGGAAUUCUCUUACUCAGGCAGGGGUCACUAAAGGAACCACAACAGUGUCUCCCUUGGAGAAAAGGAAAGGAAUCACCACCAUUUAAGAACGCCACAGCAUUCCCUUCAGAUACUGUCCGUGUGUGAGUUACACAUGCCAACUGCCAGAAUUUCAGGAAGAGAUUAUCCGCUAGAGCUAAAUCAGAUCUUUAAGUGGCAUCAUGGAAGCUCACCUUUCACCACGUAUCAAGCUGGACUCUGUGCAAACACCAGAAGAAGUCCAGAGAUCCACAGUCAAAAGAACCAGAAGAAAGCAGAUUAGGAUUGGAGCUGAAAUCAUCAUUGUUUGAAUCCAAUCUCCAGUAUUUACUUAUCUCUGUGAUAAAAACAAACCAUGCAACUGCUCGAUUGUACAUUUUUUCAUCAUCUACAUAAUGAGGACAAUUAAUAUCUCCUGAGGUUGUCAGGGAGCUUAAAUGAUGGAUAUCCAAGUACUGCCUGUAAAGUCUUGCCCAACUUGAGGCAUUCCUGAACUGUACUUAGGGCCAGUAACCACAUGGAGGGGGGUGGG